rnacentral:rRNA from 1 species
AACGCUAGCUACAGGCUUAACACAUGCAAGUCGAGGGGCAGCAUGGUCUUAGCUUGCUAAGGCCGAUGGCGACCGGCGCACGGGUGAGUAACACGUAUCCAACCUGCCGUCUACUCUUGGACAGCCUUCUGAAAGGAAGAUUAAUACAAGAUGGCAUCAUGAGUCCGCAUGUUCACAUGAUUAAAGGUAUUCCGGUAGACGAUGGGGAUGCGUUCCAUUAGAUAGUAGGCGGGGUAACGGCCCACCUAGUCUUCGAUGGAUAGGGGUUCUGAGAGGAAGGUCCCCCACAUUGGAACUGAGACACGGUCCAAACUCCUACGGGAGGCAGCAGUGAGGAAUAUUGGUCAAUGGGCGAGAGCCUGAACCAGCCAAGUAGCGUGAAGGAUGACUGCCCUAUGGGUUGUAAACUUCUUUUAUACGGGAAUAAAGUUAGCCACGUGUGGCUUUUUGUAUGUACCGUAUGAAUAAGGAUCGGCUAACUCCGUGCCAGCAGCCGCGGUAAUACGGAGGAUCCGAGCGUUAUCCGGAUUUAUUGGGUUUAAAGGGAGCGUAGGCGGGUUGUUAAGUCAGUUGUGAAAGUUUGCGGCUCAACCGUAAAAUUGCAGUUGAUACUGGCGACCUUGAGUGCAACAGAGGUAGGCGGAAUUCGUGGUGUAGCGGUGAAAUGCUUAGAUAUCACGAAGAACUCCGAUUG